rnacentral:rRNA from 1 species
GGGUGCGAUCAUACCAGUGUUAAUGCACCGGAUCCCAUCAGAACUCCGCAGUUAAGCGCGCUUGGGCUAGAGUAGUACUGGGAUGGGUGACCUCCCAGGAAGGCCUAGUGUUGCACCCU